AUAUGUUUCAGAAACCACAGUCCUGAUGAGUAUCACUGUGGGGUGUCAACUCUGUGUGAACCUACUGUCUUUCCUGAGAGAGAAAAUAAAGAAACACUGUGUCUGAACUUUGAACACACAGUUUGAACACACUGUAACUGACUGCAAAUGGAACUCAUCUAAUUUAAGUGUCCAUAAAAGAAGACUAAUUUCUUCUAGCUCAGUUUCUAUUUCAUUAGAUUAGUGCAGUAACCUGGAUGCUAGUUUAUCAUGCAAAACUGUACAACAGCGCAGCCUAGUUUACUACUGUAUACUCUGCUGCUACCACAUUGCAUGACAGAGAGGCCUAGGCAAGCCCUGCAAUGAGCACAUUCACUAAUAAGCUUAUAAAGGGAGGAGGGGAACUGGCCCUUUUGCACCAGAGCCUAAUAGAGGAGUGUCUGGUUGGAGAGAGAGAGAGAGCAAGAAUGAAAGUGAGAGGUAAUGAAGAGAGCUUUGGGUGUCUUGCAAGCAUCUCCAGGAAGUACAACAGAGUUGCAGCAGCAUUUUAUGCUGACACACAGUCAGCCUCCCACUGCUGUGUCGCUUCCAGUCCCCUUCUAUGAGGUCUGUCAUGGACCCUCUGGACCACACAUUCAGGACCUCUGGACUGUGCACCUGGACUCCUGUGCCUCCCAGCCAUGUCUUAGGCCAUGGGACCAAGAGAAAACGCCUGCUUAAAUCCUACAGGUUCGACGUGGAUAAUGGCUCGUCUCCAGGGCGCAUCCCGCUGGACCCCAUGGUCAGCCCGGGGUCAGGGCUCAUCCUGCAGGCCAACUUUGUCCACAGCCAGCGAAGAGAGUCCUUCCUUUACCGCUCCGACUCGGACUACGACCUUUCACCCAGGUCCAUGUCCAGAAACUCCUCCAUCAACAGUGACGUGUGAGAGCAAAUCCUACACAUCUCUUGUACUUGAUCUCUUCUGUGUCUCCCUCUGCUUACCUCUGUUGGUUGUGGCUUUCUUUCUUUAUGUAAUAAUACAAAUUAUAG
rnacentral:lncRNA from 8 species